AGAACCUCAGGGCAGCGUUUCCUUCCAUUGGGAAGGGAGGCAGUGGCUCCACACGCGGCACAUCUGCGGCUCUGGUCCAGCUCUGCCGCGUGAUGGGGGAGGAUCCACCACCGGAGAAAUCCUCCGUGUGCUGGGAUUUCUCCCCAAGGCAAACACCUGGCACGUUCCAGCUGCCCUGUGAAUGAAUGAGCACACAGCCCGGGGAAAGUGCACCAGGACUGAGCUGCUCGUUAAGAAAAAAAAAAGAAUACAAUCAGAUGGGCUCUGAAAUCACACUGCAGAGCAUUCCUCAUCUGUACUUAACCCUCGCCUCAGAGAAAGGGUCUUUUUUGUCCAAAUUCACUCCCCAUCCCACCAGGACGGGCAGGGCAGUGAGCAAGAGGCUGCGUGGUAUUUAAUUACCAUCUGGGGUUAAACCAGAACAUGGUGGAAUGAAGAAAAGGUGUCUUAAAAGUGCCCCAAAGUCCUCAUAAAGUUUAAAAUACAUCAUUUUCCUUCCUUCCAGUCAGCUUUUAAGUAUUCCUAAUAUUCCUAACACUGAAAAGCAAAGCUGCAGCAUUUUUACAAUAUAAACUUCCUUGUUUUGAAAAUCACCAAACAGCAACAGCAUUCCGACAUUGGAACUGCUUCUUCAAGAGCUGCUCUUUAUAAUAGUAAUGUUUUCUCCUAAAAUUGUUGGUGGGCUUUACAGUUUUUGUUUGGUGUUGGUGGGUUUCUUUUUUUCUUUGAGGGGAGUGUGUGUUGGGGGGUGGUUUUCAUUUUUUUUAAUUAGUUAUUCUAUACAGAUUGCAUGUAAAACCAGUCCUACCUGAACACACAAAAUAUGUAUUUUCUAUUUAAGCUGUGAGCACAGGAUGUUUUAAUAAAGAUGUAUUAAGGUCUAAUUGCUGUCCCUUCACAGUAAUUCCAAAAAGGGGAAGGAAUGUUCAGGACUCAGAUUGCUGCAGUUUGGCAGCAUGGACUACCAGCAACUUUCAAAAUCAGUACAUAUGAGCUGGUUUAUGUUAUAGGACUUCACUUUGGUGCAGAUCCACCGGAGGACUCACAGGCAAUGCAGCAUUUUAAGCUGGGAUGCCCCAUCCCUGGAAGUGUCCAAGGCCAGGCAGAGAUCAAUCAUCAGCAGUCCCUCUCUGUGGGUCGGACACUGGUUCCCCUGGUACAGCGAACAAGAUAAAACCAGGC